AGGACAGUUAAUAAUAAGAAAAAAAUUAAGAAAGGUUUAUUAAAAAUAUAAUUUAAAUAUAUAUAUAUUGACCAACAGAUACAUAUAAAUUAGUUGGUAUCAGAACACUGAGGAAAGAAAGUUGACAGAGAGCAGUGAGACCUCAAGCAAGAUUUAUUGACCAGCAGAGUGUCCCGGAGCCCUGAGCAAAAGGAACUCAGAGCCCCCCAACUGUUCAGAAAGAAUCAAGUUUUUAUAGACAGGGGGUCAUGUGGUGAGUUCUAUAGGUAGGGGAUGAUGGUUGAGAUCAUGGAAUAAAAAUUUAACUUUCUCCUUGGGGCCGUCUUUGUCCUUGGGAUGUCAACAGCUUCAUGGCGCUUGGUCAUUCCACCUGUGGAGGUUCAAUAAAGUAAAUCUGGGUCUGGGUAGGUCAGUGAGUCAUGCAAACUUAUUCUUUUUUAGGCCUUCAUUUUAACUUCUACCUAAUAGUUGGGAGGUAAAGGAAGAAUAAAAGCAAGGAGGAAAAAGAGGGAGGAAAAUGAUGCCCUGAGAUAGGAUAGGGUAGGAUGGAAUAUACUUCUGUGGUUCUCUUGUCCUUUAUUAUAUAUAUAAAAGUGAGUUGAAUUCUUGUUUUACAUAUACUCAUUAUGGUUAUUUUAUUGCAAGCAGCAAAAUGUAACAGUUAAUUAAAAAGUAAUAAUAAAUGAGGUGGUGAGGGGUGGUGAUAGUGCAGCUUGGUAGUUCAGCAAACAGAAUAAACUCAAGAAGCACAUUUCAUAAAACAUCUGGAGCUGAAAGAUCUCUUGGACUCUGGCAAGUAAAGACUAAUGAAUACUUUCUUCAAACUGCUGGCAUUGAGGUGGAUUUGCUUCAACAAUUUCCUACCCCGAGGCAUUCAAUUAAAGAUGCAAAUGCCUUUGAGUAUUUCAUAAUUCAGGCUCCAUCCUGUUCAUGAUCCAUCACUUGGCAAAGAAGGAAGGAGAGGAGGCAAUGUGUGUUGAUUGACAGUUCCCACAAAGCUCUAUAAGGUAGAGCUCUUUCAAAUGAAAUCCUGGAGGUGGUAUAAGAAAAAGGGUGCAUAGGUGCAAAGCAAGAAUUACCAACUAAGGUCUACCAUCCCAGGGGCUGUACCAAGUUCGAAGAUCUCAUCAGUUUUCUAACAAUUCUAGGGGUAUUUUAUUGAUAUUCCUCUAUAUCAAAGAGAAGAUAAAAACAACAAGGAAGAUUUUUAUUCAAGACUAUUGCAGCAAGGAAGAUUUUAUCCACCUCCCCCGAAGCAAAUGUGGAAGAGCUUAAAACACAGGGGUAAACUAAUUGGGAAGUACUAGAGGGUAUUAGGUGGGAGGUUAUUCAGUGUGAUUAGGUCAUCUGUGUUUACUGAUUGGCAGUCAUUUCAGUCAGGCUUCUACCCUCCCACAGGGACUGGGAUAUAGGGGUGCUGUCUUUCUUGGCAAGUAUAUUUCAAAGGGAUAGAUUCCAAAUCUUGAUUAGAGCGUUUCUGUGUUUUAAUGCUGACAAGGGACUGGGAGGAUAUUUACACCUCAAAGGAACCAUGAGGUUGUGGGUUACAUUAAAUUUUUCUCCACUAAAUACUCUAAGAAAAUGAAGUUAAGGGGCAUAGACUCAGAAAGAAAUUGUCUAAAGUUUAAACCGAGGAAAAUGUUAAGUACCUCUAGGUCAGUAAAUACACAUUCUGUUAAUAAAAAUGUAUCACUCUUGCUUGAGACUCCUGCCCCGCUCUUCUCCAAUUAUUUUAUUGGCUCUGCAAGCUGCUGCAACUCACUCUGGUCAUCUCCUCUCAAAACAGUAUGGAAGCCUCCUGUUUAUCAUUAUUUAGAGAGGCAUGCAGGUGUAUGUAUUGUAUGUAUUUCAUGGAAGACCUAUAGAUAAAGGCAGGGAAUUAUAGCAUCCUGGAGUGAACAACUAAUAUUGGGUAUUGAACAGCCAAGAUUUUGAAGUUACUCCCUCAUUACACUUUUGAGGAACUUCUCAGAGGCUCUCUUAGUUACUCUCACUCUUCUACCUCAUUGUUCAGCACCUACAUGUCCCUUAUAAUUUCCUUCAUUCUCUUCCUCCUUUGAAUCCUAAGCCUACUCUUUCUCAAAGGAUCCUCCUUUUCAAGACUUGUAGGCAAAGUAGAAAAUUCCCAUUGCAUUAUUAUGCAAAGCAAAUUGCCCUUUCUUUGUUUUAACCUUUCCAAGGCUAACUAAGCCUUGGACUUACCCAUUCAUAUUCAAGUAAGAAGUUACCUAAACAAAAGAUCUUUCCAGCCUGGUUUUCACAUUUAAAAGACUAGCAGAAGUUUUGAAGUCACAUUUCUUUUACAUGCCUCAGAUCAAAUUCUUAUGCUGCGUUCAAAAUCCUGGUGCUUUCAUCUGAGGGUAUAAAAGAGGAAAGGGGAAGAAAAAAGGCAAUGAAAGAUUUAGUUUCUCCUUCUGCCCAGGAAAAGGCAGGGGAUUUAUUUAUUUAUUUAUUUAUGUAUUUAUGUAUGUAUGUAUUUAUUUAUCUAUAAUCGAAAGGAGGGAGAAAGUGAAAAAGACAUCAACACAGAGAGAAAAUCUCUUCAAAACAUGAUUGUAAUGGACAUAACCACUGUGAUUGUGAGAUUUUUAAAGUACUGGUUUUUCUUGUAAUUUUAAAGAGUUAUAUUUACUAUUUUCAGAAUUGAAACAACAUAAAUCAAAGACAGAAUUAAAGUGCUAAAAAAUUAUGCUUUCAUUGCUAACAAAGCUAGAGUGUGGCAUUGAAUAGUCAAAUAGGCAGACAGAUAUAAAUAUAGAAUUGCCAAUCAAUCGCAGGAUAGCAUGGAGAUUAUAGAAUACCUGGGCAUUAUGAGUUUGGAAAGAUUAUUAACGGAACAAGUGACAGAAUAAUUAUCUAAAAAGGUCUGUUUAAAAAGUGUAUUACAGAGGGGACUAAAGAGCCAUUUUCUACCCUAACGAAGUGUAAAAGUGUUAGACAAGAAAGGAGGGAAGGAAAGAAGGAAGGAAAGAAUUACACCGCAGCAAACAUUGCUAACAAAGAACAUAGCUGAGAUACGGUUAUAAAAGACCUUGCUUGUGGUAUUGCUGAUACCAGAGUGUACAUAAUAUUUCUCCCUAGAGCAUACCUUGUCUGUAAGGGCAUUUAGUUUGCUUUACAAUUAAGAAAAUUGUUAAAUGAUAUUCCUUAUUUAAGAGUAAAAGUAUUUAUAAAAUAAAGAUUUAGAUUUUUUUUAAAUGUGGAUAAUUUGGCAGUAGGCUUUUAUUUCUACAUAGUGAUGUUACUGGAGAGUAGGUUCUUGUCUUGUUGCAGAAAGAAUUUAGAAAAGAGACACUGAGGUAAGGAAAGCAAAGUGAGGAUUUACUAAGCGGUAUUACACCCUCAAGGCGAGAGCAGGAGGAUUCAGGUGAUCCUCUUCUGCCCUUGCUUUCUUUGGGAAGCUCAUUAUAUGGCACAUGAAAAUGAAUGGGAGGCAUAUUCACUGAAGGUGAGGGGGUUCAUUCCAACUCCACCUUCAGUAGCGGAGGUGGGAUAUUUGUUGUUAUUAACCCCUGAAUUGAAGUAUCAUGACAGUGCAUAAUGAGUAAUUCUUAUUUGCAAGGCUGCUUUUUUAAAGAGGGCAUAAGGAGCAAUAGGUACAUUUCAAUGCUGGAGAUUCCCGCUUUUUCCCACAUUUUCUUGUCUGCCUCUAAGGCCCUUGUCACCCCCAAAAUGUGUGGUUUCUUGUCAUUCCAGAGGUACCUGCUGUUUUUUCUGUCUGCGCAAGGACCUCUGUUGUUUACAAUAUGUGUGGUUUCCUGCCACAUGUCCUGUAGCCUCCCCAACUUCUCUGCUCAGGUCUAGAUAUCUACCUGUUCUAACAACAGGCUAAAUAACAUUCCUCCCAACAUAGACAUGGUAGGGAUGUACCAACUAGGUAAAUCCACCUGGUAGGUGGCAAACAAAGCUAGAGUGUGGCAUUGAUGUUCCUGGGUGGGGCAGAUAUCCAAAAGGCAAUUCUUUUUUUUUUUUUUUUUUCUUUUUGUUUUUCGCCCUGUUUCCUGGGCAGGUGUGUUCCUAAUGUCCAUGGAGUCUCUUCUACUUGAGAAUUCUAGUGUCGUGGCUCAGGGUUUCUCCUCCCUUUUUGCCUCUUGCAAGUCUCCCUAAGUCACACAAAGUGGUCCACCUCUGUGGGGAUCACAUGGCAGAUGUUUUUUUCUCGGUAGCAUCCCUUUCAAGACACUAGAGUUGGCUCCCUUCCUCAAAAUUCACAUUUGACCUUUCCUUUACUAAUGUAGGUAGAAGGACAGCUUGCUUCCACUAUAGCCCCCUUUCCUAGUACCUCUUGGUGCUGGUCUUGGGACCUCUGUAGACAUUUCUAAGCAAUAGAAGAGGUCACAUUUAGCUUCCUUCUCACUGGCAGAGAUUGGAUGUCUUUUAUAGUAAAUAUAAUCAUCCACUGCCCUGUGAAUAUUUAUCGUACCACAUAUAUCCAAGUACUUAUAUUUGGUUCCACCUUAGUUCCCUAGCUCUUGACCUACAGAUCAGCUGAUCUCUUAAUAUUCUGGUAAUUGCUUCAGAGUACACUGUCUCCAGGAGGCACAAAAAAAUCAGAGGAAUUACAUUUACUUCCCCUGAGCAUUUGAGCCACAAGGGUCUGAUACAGACUUCCUAAUGGAUGAACAAGACCUGAGUGCAAUUCAUUUAAGAACACAGGGAGCAUGGAGAGGCUUUGUUUGCAGAAAUGAUGAUCUGUGCCUGGUUAACCGCCUAAGCCAGUAGUUGUGUGCCUACAUAAUGAUGCCCUACUUCUCUGUUGAGUAAAAAGUUGAGUUGAGCUCUUUGAGAAAAAGCUGUGCUAUAGCAAAUUGACCAUGAAUAAAACAAAUUUACAAGUUUCUCCUGGGUGUCUGAUUAUCUAAAAAUCGGCCAGGAAAUUGAAUUGCCUGUCAGCCACCCAAAUUAUUUUACUAGCUGCUAUUGAAAUUCUUGGUGGGGUAGGUUUUUUAAAAGGGAAAAUAGGAAAUGAGUUGGAAAUGAUUGAUCAAACUUGAAAAUAACAGUAUAUCGAGUUGCUUCUUUCAUGCAACAAGGACCCUUUCUGUUGCAUUCUUCUCUCAUCUGUCCAAACAAGGGAGAAUCAAAAUCAGAAAACCUAUUUUAAAUAUUAAAAUUGUUUUUACCUGGUCUUUUUUUUUUUUUUUUGAUGUGACAGAGAAUUAAGAAUUACAAUCAGUUUAGGAUUUGAUUAUAUUUAUGUCAUUUAAAUUAAUUAAGAGUGAAAUUAAUCUUAUCAAUGAAAUAUGAACUAAUGUAAAGCAGAGUAACAGAGGGCACAGAUGCUCUAAUGCAUACUAAAUUUAGAUUAUAAUGUUCAAAUUUGACCAAGGGAGUUCCCGUGGUGGCGCAGUUGUUUACGAAUCCGACUAGGAACCAUGAGGUUGCAGGUUCGAUCCCUGGCCUUGCUCAGUGGGUUAAGGAUCCGGCAUUGCCCUGAGCUGUGGUGUAGGUCGCAGACGCGGCUCGGAUCCCGCGUUGCUGUGGCUCUGGCAUAGGCUGGUGGCUACAGCUCCGAUUAGACCCCUAGCCUGGGAACCUCCAUAUGCCGCAGGAGUGGCCCAAAAAAAAGCAAAAAAAAAAAAAAAAAA
ensembl:lncRNA